GAUGAACGCUGGCGGCGUGCCUAAUACAUGCAAGUCGAGCGAACGGACGAGAAGCUUGCUUCUCUGAUGUUAGCGGCGGACGGGUGAGUAACACGUGGAUAACCUACCUAUAAGACUGGGAUAACUUCGGGAAACCGGAGCUAAUACCGGAUAAUAUUUUGAACCGCAUGGUUCAAAAGUGAAAGACGGUCUUGCUGUCACUUAUAGAUGGAUCCGCGCUGCAUUAGCUAGUUGGUAAGGUAACGGCUUACCAAGGCAACGAUACAUAGCCGACCUGAGAGGGUGAUCGGCCACACUGGAACUGAGACACGGUCCAGACUCCUACGGGAGGCAGCAGUAGGGAAUCUUCCGCAAUGGGCGAAAGCCUGACGGAGCAACGCCGCGUGAGUGAUGAAGGUCUUUGGAUCGUAAAACUCUGUUAUUAGGGAAGAACAUAUGUGUAAGUAACUGUGCACAUCUUGACGGUACCUAAUCAGAAAGCCACGGCUAACUACGUG
rnacentral:rRNA from 1 species